AAACGUAGGAGGCGAGCGUUAUCCGGAUUUACCGGGUGUAAAGCGCGUGCAGGCGGCGGCGCAAGUCGUGUGUGAAAGCUCCCGGCUCAACCGGGAGAGGACGGACGAGACUGGGCAGCUAGAGGCAGGUAGAGGUGUGUGGAAUUCCGGGUGUAGUGGUGAAAUGCGUAGAGAUCCGGAGGAACACCAGUGGCGAAAGCGGCACACUGGGCCUGGCCUGACGCUCAGACGCGAAAGCAUGGGGAGCGAACGGGAUUAGAAACCCCGGUAGUCCAUGCUGUAAACGAUGCGGACUAGGUGUUGCGGGUUGAAUCCCCUGCAGUGCCGAAGCGAACGUGAUAAGUCCGCCACCUGGGGAGUACGGCCGCAAGGUUAAA
rnacentral:rRNA from 1 species